GUGCUCGCUUCCGUAGCAUAUAUACUAAAAAUAUUGGAACAACGCAGAGAAGAUUAACAUGACCCCUGUGCAAGGAUGACACUCAAAUUCAUGAAGUGUUCCAUAUUAAA
rnacentral:snRNA from 1 species